rnacentral:rRNA from 1 species
GCUUGUCUCAAAGAUUAAGCCAUGCAUGUCUAAGUGUAAAUAAGUCUAUACUGUGAAACUGCGAAUGGCUCAUUAAAUCAGUUAUCGUUUAUUUGAUGAUCUCUUACUACUUGGAUAACCGUAGUAAUUCUAGAGCUAAUACAUGCACAAAAUCCCGACUUACGAAGGGAUGUAUUUAUUAGAUACAAACCAACAUCGUGGUGAUUCAUAAUAACUUUGCGAAUCGCAUGGCUUCACGCCGGCGAUGGUUCAUUCAAAUUUCUGCCCUAUCAGCUUUCGAUGGUAGGAUCGAGGCCUACCAUGGCGUUUACGGGUAACGGAGAAUUAGGGUUCGAUUCCGGAGAGGGAGCCUGAGAGAUGGCUACCACAUCCAAGGAAGGCAGCAGG